rnacentral:lncRNA from 1 species
UGUUUGCUGGCACUUUGAACUAUUUCUCAAUGAAGGUGCCAUAAUCUGUGUUUCUCUUUCUGCAGAAAUUACCGACCUGAUGGUGAAUCAAACCCCAACCAGUGUCAGUGAUUUCGAAGGCUCAGAACUUACCAUGAAUUGUACAUUCAAGACAGUCAAUAACCACAGCACCAUGUAUGUGCGAUGGUAUAACUAUGGGACUGAGGGACUAAAGAAAGAGCUGAUGAAUGACAGCGAUGUGAUCACAACCCUGCAUUUGGACAAUGGGUUUGCCUCUCUCACUUUGAAGAACGCAAAUUCAUCUGAUACAGGAACCUACGUGUGUGAGGUGGGGAUCACAGCAAGGAACCUCUCUGGGAAUGGAACAGGAACCCAAGUGACCAUCGAGAAUUUUCCCGAGCUGAUGGUGAAUCAGACCCCAGCCAAUAUCCCUGUGUCAGAAGGGUCAGAUCUCACCAUGGAGUGUAGAUUCACGGUAUGGAAUAAACACAAGACCUUGUAUGUGAAAUGGUAUAAACAUAGCGGAACUGGGGGAACGAAGAAGGAGCUGAUGAGCGAAAGAGUCAGGGACCCAGCAGCCCUGGCUUUGGAAAAGGGUUUUGCUUCGUUCACUCUGAAGAACGUGAAUGUAACCGAUACAGGAACCUACGUGUGUGAGGUGGGGAGCACAGCGAGGAACUGGUCUGUGUCAGGAGCCGGAACCCAAGUGACCAUCACUCGUAAGUAUCAGUAUUUUCCUAUCUGAUCUUCCUGCUGUGAGCGACAGCGAAUGGCAGCCUAAAGGACAAAGAAUGAACGACUGUAGCUGGCAAAAGCGGGUCUGAAUUCUCAGGUGUGUCCAGUAUAUAACCCAUAAAAAUAUGGGCUCCAGCCUGUGAGGAGCUGAAGAUAACAUAGUUCAAAAUACCUAAGUGAUUUAGGGGCUUCCAAUUUUCAGAGGGGACUUAGGCACUUGCAGGGCAGAUUUUUAAUGGCGUUUAGGCACCAAAAGUUGUAGGUGGGCUUUUCAAAAGUAUAUCAGUAUCUAACUCCCAUUGAAAUCAGUAACUUUUGCCAACAG